rnacentral:misc_RNA from 1 species
AACCAUAGAAACCUGCGGAGUACCUGCGGAAGGAUCAUUACCACACCCAAAACACAAAACUGAAGUCUCCGAAGCUGUGUUUCUACACAGUGGAAGGACGGAUGUUUGACCCGCGAAAACAUCGUCUUGUUUUAGGGAUCUCAGUUGGUUUUUCCACUGAUGUUCUCUUGACUCGACGCUUUCUUUAUAACUUUGUUCCGCUUGAUUGCUUUACUUCCUUCGGGAAUACUGCAUGACAGC